GAAAGGUCUGAGACCAGAUGGAAGAUGGAAGAGAGAGAUCUGUCCUCUGAAGAUACUGUUUUCAAGCUACUUAGAUCAAGAAACGGAGGCAAAAUCUUUUGCUUACUUGGUCCAAGCACAGAAGCGGGAAUGUUUGAAAGGACAUGAGGAGGGUGUUUGCCUGCUAAGGAGUCCUUGUUGCUUUGAGCCCUCAGUGAAACGAGGGAUUACAACAAUAAAAUGGCACCUUCGGCUUCGCUGGGUAUGGGAAAUAUACCCAAACCAAACAGCUGUGAAGCAGAAAAAGUCUACAACAAAGGCAGUGAACUGAACCCACAGGCAAUGGUAAUUAUUGCCCUUCCAAGAAGAAGUAAGAGAAAAGUCACAGCUUCUCCAGGAGCUGCCCCUGGGAUGGCAUACUUCUACACAGCGCCUCUCAUCUCGUCAGGCUGAUGCAGAGAUUUCACUGGAAAUUCUUAGGCUUUGCUAAUCAGAUAAGCCUGUCCAGGCACAUAGUGCUGUGCUUACAACCUCCAUCUGCAAGAAAAAAAAUCAUGUCGUCUUGUGAAGGCUGAUAAGCUGUGAAUUGCUGUUUUAUUUGCUUGGGUUUCAUCUCCCAUCAAAACUUGUGUUAAUUCUCAGUUGAUUGUAAGUUCAAGUACUUUGUUGCAAAAGCUAAUCCUGCAAAGCAGAUAGCUGGAGUCUUAUGCAUAUUCUUUUUUUUUUUUUUUUGGGGGGGGGUAUGGGAAAGAUUAAUUAAGAAAGCAGAUUGAAUUGGUCUAGUUUAUUUGAUCUUCUCAUUUCUGUAAAUAGGCGUCAACUUUGGCAGGGUUAGUUUUCUUGUUUCAUUUCACUAGAGGUAACAAAAUGUAAUAUUCUUUAACAAGGGCAAAUCAGAAGGAACUUACCCUCUGCUCUUGAGGCUGAGGUAGGAACAAUGCUGCCUCAUUCAAGCGGCUACCAGUCAUUAUGAAAUGCAUGAAUAAGCAGUGACAAUUAAUUCAGUGAGGCUGGACGAAAAUAUUUUUGGGUGAUAGUGUAAUGUAAAUCAUUGUUUUACACAUUCCCUUUCAAUGAUUUAAUUCAUGCCUUUCUGACCCCCGCUGUGUUAUGAUUCAUAGAUUAGUGCUCAUGUGUGUAAUUUAACAGAGCUGAAUAACAAGCAGUAAGGAGACUUAAACAAAUCCUCGCAUCUGAUGUUUUUACGAUAAAUUAGGAAAACAUCAUUAGUACCAUGCAGAAUGAUUAUGCUGCUGCAAUUUCUACAUAGGCACCUGUCAGGAAAAGAAGAGAAAUACACAAAACAUUGCAUAACGAGCAGUAAACCAGAUGUAGAAAUCCAAAACAAUGGCAGGCAGAUAAUCCAGGUCCUGUACUGUACCUGUAUUCCAAUAGAUAAGCAUCUGUUUUUCUUGAAGUGGUCCUUCUUUCUGUCUUCUACUGCAACGGUGGCAAUGGUUGUGGUGGUGGUGACGGUGGCAGUAUUGUUCCCUACAUGUUGACUUGCAGGGCCAUGGAUCUGCGCAUUGGCAGCUUCAAUAGCAGCUGUUAGCGCCUUCAUACUGUCCAAGCUCUCUGUGGAGUUGCUAAGUCCAGACUGGCUGAUGAUGUCUCCCCUCUGUCCAUGCCCAUCCAUAUAUGCAUCUUGGGCAGACUCUGUGCUGCUCUGGGCUGUGAUGGAAAUAAAUGGUUUGGUGGUAGUUCUCGGUGGGACUGGAGGUGGUGUCUUCUUAUAGGUGGUAAUGCAGGAUGACACUGGAAAAAACAUAUCAGUUCUUACUUUAUUGGCACUGCAGGGAAAAUGGAUGCAAAUAUGAUCUCAAAGCAUCAGUGAGCAUGGACAGAACAGAUGUAAGGACGAUGCUGUUAGCCAAAGAGCCCCCAAAAGCUCCAGUGUAAGUGCCAUGGAAAAACCUUGCUUAUCCUGUGAGCGGCAGAAUUGCCAGUAGAGGGAAAGAAAUUAUCUAUUUGCCAAGUUUCUCCUUAGUCUUUUUAGGAUUGUUUUCUCCAGUAUAUUUUCUACUGACUGUUCCAACUCCCAUGGGAACAAGUCCUUCCACCAAAACUUUUGUUCUGCUCAUGGCUUCCAAACAAGAUUCACAAGGAUGAUGAGUCUCCAACCGUUUAUCCUAGCUAAGCUGUACUUCAUGAAGUUUUAUUGCAAUUGUUUUAUGUCUCUCUACCCUGUCCUACUGUAUUUACCAAGCUUACGUAUAAUUUUAAACUACUUUUUUCUGAUCAGAGGGAGAUCCCCAAACCAUCCUAGGUCAAAGUCUGUUAACACUUACCAUGCUUGGACUUGUGUAUUUCUUGCUAUAAAAGGUCUCACUUGUUGCAUAGAUUUCCCAAAUACUUUGAAAUGUUUUGUAAGCUGCUGAGGACAUAUUUAAAACAACAUUUUGCCACACCUGAAUUUCUCAUCAUAAAUAUAACAUAUCAGUUCUGAAAAAAAAAUGCUUGAUUUUUACACAUGGGGAGUUAGCAUAAUGAAAUCAAUGGCUAAAGCCUGUGAGUCAGUGGGACUACUUAAACGGAAGUAUAAAAGUUUGCAACAACAGAGGUUUUAAUAAAAGUUUAUGAAGACUUCUCUUUUCAUAUUUUGAAGGCCAUGCUCUCUUUCUAAGUGCUGCUAGAUGGAUUUAGAAGCUUAGCUUGAGGUUCCCAGGUUAAAAACUAUUGGCCUGUGUACACAGAAUUACAUGCAGAAAGCAUUACAUGGAGAUAAAAACAUCUUCCUUUAAGGGAUAGUUGGCAGCUCUGCAUUACUGAAGUCCUGGAAAGCUUUCAAAUGAGGAAAGAAAGUCCAUUAAGAACAAAAAACAAUCAUGAUAUGCUCUAUUUUUUAAGAAAAUAAAUGCAGGCAUGAACCUGUGCAAAGUUCAGACACAAACAUGUUAACAUAAAUUCUUAUUAACAGUAAUCAUAUGGCAAGAAAUGAUUCAUCAGAUCAUUUUAAUUGGCAGACGUCUAUGCCACCCACAUAAAAGGUAACUCUACUACAGCUGUUCUGCUCUCUGUUUGCACUGUACAUGUUUGUUGAGCCAGAAGCCAUUAUGGUAUUAAUUUGACUAGCUCAGAUCCAUAUGCCUCGUAUCUCCCAAUAGCUGAAGGAAUAGUUAUAGCAUCAAAGGUGUUUCCAGGGCAUGAAAUCACACGGGAUAUUUUUUUAAGGACUCUAGUAUAAGUUUCUGAUAACAUGUCUGAACCCAUGUUAAACACGUUGAAUGCUAAUGGAAAAAGAGCGUUUCACUAAGGUAGUGAAGGUUUUGAAAUUAUGAUUCAUUUCUGAAGAAUCAAACAGUAACCACAGCAUCUUUGAGAGUAGAGAUGGCUAAAAAUGAACUUGUCAAAUUUUAACUCUGGGGAAGUGAAUAGUUGAUAGGGGUUAAAGGUGCUUUUUGAAGUGCUUAUGAAAAGACAAAUAUCUGGAACUAACAGAAAGGAUGACAGUUUUACAAAGGGGAUUGUGAAUAUUUUGCUGUUCAUUGCUGGUUUUGAUGCUGCCCAAAAGCAUCUGUUGUGAGUGCAUGUUCAGGUAAAUCAGCUGCUGUUGCUGCAGCACAAACAUUUACUCUGGGACUUAGGGAGAAUUGUGCAGGCUGCUGCUUGGGUGAUGGUAUCCCAGAAACGACCCAGGUGGUUCCUGGUCUGGAGAAUGUUCUCCGAGUGCAGAAAUGCAAGCUAAAAUUCACCACUGAAGAAUUCAAAGCACAUAUACACACGUAUAUCCAGGUAACGCUUUGGGAAGCUGGUGCCAAACUUGUCUAGUAGAGGUUGGUGUGCAAUGCUACUUUGCAAUUCAGCAAAGUAUAAAUGGCACCUUUUGAAAUAUGCUAGGCCGGGUCAUUGUGGAACUCCUGGGGAGAUGCCAGCACCUUCGGGACAUCCCAGCAAAACACGUAUCAUUUCUCCUACGCAGCAGAUAGGGGAAUGAUAAUGAAACACACUUGAAAAGCACUCUUAGGUAGGAGACAGAGCUUCAAAAAUAAAAAGCAAGCCUUAAUGAGGCUGGUGCCCACAUCACCGGCCAUCCCCCAGUAGAAAGAGAGUCAAUAGCAACUGUCUAUCCACAGCUACCGGGCACUCUGGACACAGCAGUACAAAUACAGAAACGCCUGAUUAAGAUGUCUUUCAUUCUGUUGGUAAAUGUACUCAGUGAGGAGUCUAAUCCACACUGCACUGAAAGAUGUUUGCGCUCAGCUAAUUAAAUCUGAAGUUAUUCUUAAGAGGGGGAGAGAAUUGACAAGUCAUACGGUGAAAUUGUAAAGAGAAACAGCAAACGUUCUUUUAGCAAGUCAAAACAAAUCCUCAGUUUCCAGGAGUCACACAGCACAUACUGUACAGCUCCGGAGAAGCGGAGUGUGCAAGUCAUAAAAGAACCCCAGGCACUUCAUUACUGGAAAUGAUGUAAGCUCCUGCCGCUCCUCUGCAGAAACGACAACAAAACAAUGCUCGGGCCGCCGUCGGAGGCAGCUGUGGUCUAAAUGUCGUAGCUGGCUGAGCCCUCCAAACGGCUGAAGCACAGCAACGAAAGGGAUUCGGUGCAUCAGUUUUUCUCCAGGCACUUUUAAGAACCUGGCAACUUGUGACCUGCCGGCUUUUCAAGUGGCUACGGUAUUUUAAAUGCUAAGCUGCUUGAAAAACAAAGCGAGCACUCCCCAAGAAAAAUGACAAAACCUUGGCGCUCUCCUUGUGCAGCCAAGACAGCCUGAGCGCUUGGUUGGUGCGGGAAGAGCACAUCGUGGCGCUUUCCAUCCCCGUGGGCAAAGGGGAUGCUCUUCCAUCCAGCUUUCCUGCAGCAGAGGUCGACUGUCCUGCAGGAGCACUCCGAGGGAGAAGAUUACAGGAUCAUGGGACGCGUGAAAAGGAUGGAGAAAUCCUCACUUCACACACAGGGAACUUUCAAGGGGUUUUGCAGAUGAAAGCUAGUUUAAUUCUCAUCAGGAAGUGAAUUUAAAGGGCUCAAUAAAUUCCCUGAUAAAUACAUUCUUGGACAGGGAUCAAGGAGCGAAGUUCUGUAGGGAAACUGAUCUGACUGGAGAGUCAAGUCAAAGUAGUCUCAUUUUUCAUUAAAAUUGUUUAGACAUGGAGUUAAGCAGAAAUAUCUUUUUCUGAAUAGCAAACGUGCAUAUGAACCCUCGGUUUGUCACAAUAUAGACUAGCUUUUCACAUUAUUUUCCAGAGCACACAUGCUGCUGGAGCAAGUAUACAUUCCUCUCCUAGGGCAUACGCAAGGUUUAAUCCAGAAACUAGUUAAGUCAUGUGCAAGAAUCCUCUGACUCCCAAAGCACCUUGAAUCAGGCCCACCAUUUCCAGCUGUAUCACUCUACCAACUAAUGCUCUCCUUUUCCUUUUGAUCUUUAUCCUAUUUCUGUUGCCUGCCUUUGGGUUACAGUUUAAUCCCAAAUACCUAGUGAAAAAGCACUUUCUCCAGAUUGAAAAAAAAAAAAAAAUCAUGGUGUUUGUCCUCCUAACCAGUAUUUCCAAACAACUAGCUCAUGGGACAGGAAUUUGGAACAGGGAGUGUCAACCACCCAGUUCAGAAGGAAGUCUAAUGAUAAAAAAAAUAAUCCCAGAUUGCAUAAUAAUAAAGGCUUGAAUUUGAAUGUUUCAUUGUAAGAGCACUUCAGUUGUUUAAACAUGCUCGCCAGGGAGAUGAGC